UGGUGGAGUGAUUUGUCUGGUUAAUUCCGUUAACGAACGAGACCCCCGCCUGCUAAAUAGUCCCUGGUACGCAUUCGCGUAGCAGUGGCGCUUCUUAGAGGGACUUUCAGUGAUUAACUGAAGGAAGUUGGGGCAAUAACA
rnacentral:rRNA from 1 species